GUGAACGCUGGCGGUAGGCCUAACACAUGCAAGUCGAACGGUAGCACAGUAAGAGCUUGCUCUUACGGGUGGCGAGUGGCGGACGGGUGAGGAAUACAUCGGAAUCUACUUUUUCGUGGGGGAUAACGUAGGGAAACUUACGCUAAUACCGCAUACGACCUACGGGUGAAAGCAGGGGAUCUUCGGACCUUGCGCGAUUGAAUGAGCCGAUGUCGGAUUAGCUAGUUGGCGGGGUAAAGGCCCACCAAGGCGACGAUCCGUAGCUGGUCUGAGAGGAUGAUCAGCCACACUGGAACUGAGACACGGUCCAGACUCCUACGGGAGGCAGCAGUGGGGAAUAUUGGACAAUGGGCGCAAGCCUGAUCCAGCCAUACCGCGUGGGUGAAGAAGGCCUUCGGGUUGUAAAGCCCUUUUGUUGGGAAAGAAAAGCAGCAGGUUAAUACCCCGCUGUUCUGACGGUACCCAAAGAAUAAGCACCGGCUAACUUCGUG
rnacentral:rRNA from 1 species